rnacentral:rRNA from 1 species
UGGCUCAGGACGAACGCGGCGGCGUGCUUAACACAUGCAAGUCGAACGGAAAGGCCCUUCGGGGUACUCGAGUGGCGAACGGGUGAGUAACACGUGGGUGAUCUGCCCUGCACUUUGGGAUAAGCCUGGGAAACUGGGUCUAAUACCGAAUACACCUCGCUGGCCGCAUGGUCUGGUGGGGGAAAGCUUUUGCGGUGUGGGAUGGGCCCGCGGCCUAUCAGCUUGUUGGUGGGGUGAUGGCCUACCAAGGCGACGACGGGUAGCCGGCCUGAGAGGGUGACCGGCCACACUGGGACUGAGAUACGGCCCAGACUCCUACGGGAGGCAGCAGUGGGGAAUAUUGCACAAUGGGCGCAAGCCUGAUGCAGCGACGCCGCGUGGGGGAUGACGGCCUUCGGGUUGUAAACCCCUUUCAGCACAGACGAAGCGCGAGUGAC